rnacentral:rRNA from 1 species
AGUGAACGCUGGCGGUAGGCCUAACACAUGCAAGUCGAACGGCAGCACAGUAAGAGCUUGCUCUUACGGGUGGCGAGUGGCGGACGGGUGAGGAAUACAUCGGAAUCUACUUUUUCGUGGGGGAUAACGUAGGGAAACUUACGCUAAUACCGCAUACGACCUACGGGUGAAAGCAGGGGAUCUUCGGACCUUGCGCGAUUGAAUGAGCCGAUGUCGGAUUAGCUAGUUGGCGGGGUAAAGGCCCAGCAAGGCGACGAUCCGUAGCUGGUCUGAGAGGAUGGUCGGCCACACUGGAACUGAGACACGGUCCAGACUCCUACGGGAGGCAGCAGUGGGGAAUAUUGGACAAUGGGCGCAAGCCUGAUCCAGCCAUACCGCGUGGGUGAAGAAGGCCUUCGGGUUGUAAAGCCCUUUUGUUGGGAAAGAAAAGCAGCAGGUUAAUACCCCGCUGUUCUGACGGUACCCAAAGAAUAAGCACCGGCUAACUUCGUG